AGAAAUCUGACUGGGAGAUAAAGUUUUGUGGCUGGAGUAGAAGAACCUCUGAAAAAGUUGUUUUCCCACCCCUAUUUGAGGGAUAAGACUCUGGGAGGAUUGAAAUGGAGAAUCAAAGCAUCAUUUUAUCUGGACUCCAAAAACAGAAAUUUGAAAAUAAAAGACCAAGAUUUUAAAAAUAGAUAAAUGAAAGGACAACGAUGUCAUUUCUAAUUCUUUAGCUUGAAGAGAAGACAGUAUUUGCUGCCCUGAAUAAGAGGCUGUUCAUCCUGACUGCUAAUAGGGAAGAGGAGAAAGUGAUGAAAAAGUCUCACGGAGACAUAUUCCUAGAGAUCCAUAUGUGCUAAGGAGGUGCUUAACCCUGAAGGAAUAACUUCCAGGAGCAUAAGUGUGGGAAACAGUUGGACUUUUGUGAAAUUAUCAAGGACAGUCUGUAUGUGAUCACCUAGUUAUAUGAUAA
ensembl:lncRNA